GGGGGGACCAUCCUCCAAGGCUAAAUACUCCUGACUGACCGAUAGUGAACCAGUACCGUGAGGGAAAGGCGAAAAGAACCCCGGCGAGGGGAGUGAAAAAGAACCUGAAACCGUGUACGUACAAGCAGUGGGAGCACGCUUAGGCGUGUGACUGCGUACCUUUUGUAUAAUGGGUCAGCGACUUAUAUUCUGUAGCAAGGUUAACCGAAUAGGGGAGCCGAAGGGAAACCGAGUCUUAACUGGGCGUUAAGUUGCAGGGUAUAGACCCGAAACCCGGUGAUCUAGCCAUGGGCAGGUUGAAGGUUGGGUAACACUAACUGGAGGACCGAACCGACUAAUGUUGAAAAAUUAGCGGAUGACUUGUGGCUGGGGGUGAAAGGCCAAUCAAACCGGGAGAUAGCUGGUUCUCCCCGAAAGCUAUUUAGGUAGCGCCUCGUGAAUUCAUCUCCGGGGGUAGAGCACUGUUUCGGCAAGGGGGUCAUCCCGACUUACCAACCCGAUGCAAACUGCGAAUACCGGAGAAUGUUAUCACGGGAGACACACGGCGGGUGCUAACGUCCGUCGUGAAGAGGGAAACAACCCAGACCGCCAGCUAAGGUCCCAAAGUCAUGGUUAAGUGGGAAACGA
rnacentral:rRNA from 1 species